rnacentral:rRNA from 1 species
ACGGAAGGCAGCAGUGGGGAAUAUUGCACAAUGGGGGAAACCCUGAUGCAGCGACGCCGCGUGAGUGAAGAAGUAUCUCGGUAUGUAAAGCUCUAUCAGCAGGGAAGAAAAUGACGGUACCUGACUAAGAAGCCCCGGCUAACUACGUGCCAGCAGCCGCGGUAAUACGUAGGGGGCAAGCGUUAUCCGGAUUUACUGGGUGUAAGGGGAGCGUAGACGGUCUGGCAAGUCUGAUGUGAAAGGCAGGGGCUCAACUCCUGGACUGCAUUGGAAACUGUCGGACUGGAGUGCCGGAGAGGUAAGCGGAAUUCCUAGUGUAGCGGUGAAAUGCGUAGAUAUUAGGAGGAACACCAGUGGCGAAGGCGGCUUACUGGACGGUAACUGACGUUGAGGCUCGAAAGCGUGGGGAGCAAACAGGAUUAGAUACCCUGGUA